rnacentral:lncRNA from 1 species
UUCUAUUCCUGUUGUAGUUGAAUCAGACAGAGAGACAGGGACAGAGGUUCUAUUCCUGUUGAAUCAGACAGAGAGACAGGGACAGAGGUUCUAUUCCUGUUCUAGUUGAAUCAGACAGAGAGACAGGGACAGAGUUUCUAUUCCUGUUCUAGUUGAAUCAGACAGAGAGACAGGGACAGAGGUUCUAUUCCUGUUGAAUCAGACAGAGAGACAGGGACAGAGGUUCUAUUCCUGUUCUAGAUUAAUCAGACAGAGAGACAGGGACAGAGGUUCUAUUCCUGUUGAAUCAGACAGAGAGACAGGGUCAGAGGUUCUAUUCCUGUUGAAUCAGACAGAGAGACAGAGACAGAGGUUCUAUUCCUGUUCUAGUUGAAUCAGCCAGAGAGACAAGGACAGAGGUUAUAUUCCUGUUGAAUCAGACAGAGAGACAGGGACAGAGGUUCUAUUCCUGUUCUAGAUGAAUCAGACAGAGAGACAGGGACAGAGGUUCUAUUUCUGUUGAAUCAGACAGAGAGACAGGGACAGAGGUUCUAUUCCUGUUCUAGUUGAAUCAGACAGAGAGACAGGGACAGAGGUUCUAUUCCUGUUGAAUCAGACAGAGAGACAGAGACAGAGGUUCUAUUCCUGUUCUAGUUGAAUCAGCCAGAGAGACAAGGACAGAGGUUAUAUUCCUGUUGAAUCAGACAGAGAGACAGGGACAGAGGUUCUAUUCCUGUUCUAGUUGAAUCAGACAGAGAGACAGGGACAGAGGUUCUAUUCCUGUUCUAGAUGAAUCAGACAGAGAGACAGGGACAGAGGUUCUAUUCCUGUUCUAGUUGAAUCAGACAGAGAGACAGGGUCAGAGGUUCUAUUCCUGUUCUAGAUGAAUCAGACAGAGAGACAGGGACAGAGGUUCUAUUCCUGUUGAAGCAGACAGAGAGACAGGGACAGAGGUUCUAUUCCUGUUCUAGUUGAAUCAGACAGAGAGACAGGGACAGAGGUUCUAUUCAUGUUCUAGAUGAAUCAGACAGAGAGACAGGGACAGAGGUUCUAUUCCUGUUCUAGUUGAAUCAGACAGAGAGACAGGGACAGAGGUUCUAUUCCUGUUGAAUCAGACAGAGAGACAGGGUCAGAGGUUCUAUUCCUGUGGAAUCAGACAGAGAGACAGGGACAGAGGUUCUAUUCCUGUUCUAGAUGAAUCAGACAGAGAGACAGGGACAGAGGUUCUAUUCCUGUUGAAUCUGUCCUCUGUCUGAUUCAACAGGAAUAGAACCUCUGUCCCUGUCUCUCUGUCUGAGGUUCUAUUCCUGUUCUAGUUGAAUCAGACAGAGAGACAGGGACAGAGGUUCUAUUCAUGUUCUAGAUGAAUCAGAAAGAGAGACAGUGACAGAGGUUCUAUUCCUGUUCUAGAUGAAUCAGACAGAGAGACAGGUACAGAGGUUCUAUUCCUGUUGAAUCAGACAGAGAGACAGGGUCAGAGGUUCUAUUCCUGUUGACUCAGACAGAGAGACAGGGACAGAAGUUCUAUUCCUGUUCUAGAUGAAUCAGAC